AGUGAACGCUGGCGGUAGGCCUAACACAUGCAAGUCGAACGGCAGCACAGUAAGAGCUUGCUCUUACGGGUGGCGAGUGGCGGACGGGUGAGGAAUACAUCGGAAUCUACUUUUUCGUGGGGGAUAACGUAGGGAAACUUACGCUAAUACCGCAUACGACCUACGGGUGAAAGCAGGGGAUCUUCGGACCUUGCGCGAUUGAAUGAGCCGAUGUCGGAUUAGCUAGUUGGCGGGGUAAAGGCCCACCAAGGCGACGAUCCGUAGCUGGUCUGAGAGUAUGAUCAGCCACACUGGAACUGAGACACGGUCCAGACUCCUACGGGAGGCAGCAGUGGGGAAUAUUGGACAAUGGGCGCAAGCCUGAUCCAGCCAUACCGCGUGGGUGAAGAAGGCCUUCGGGUUGUAAAGCCCUUUUGUUGGGAAAGAAAAGCAGCGGGUUAAUACCCCGCUGUUCUGACGGUACCCAAAGAAUAAGCACCGGCUAACUUCGUG
rnacentral:rRNA from 1 species